rnacentral:misc_RNA from 1 species
UCCGGUUUGUCACCGGCAGUCUCCUUAGAGUUCCCGCCAUUACGCGCUGGCAACUAAGGACAAGGGUUGCGCUCGUUACGGGACUUAACCCAACAUCUCACGACACGAGCUGACGACAGCCAUGCAGCACCUGUCUCUCGGUUCCCGAAGGCACCAAGGCAUCUCUGCCAAGUUCCGAGGAUGUCAAGACCUGGUAAGGUUCUUCGCGUUGCAUCGAAUUAAACCACAUGCUCCACCGCUUGUGCGGGCCCCCGUCAAUUCAUUUGAGUUUUAACCUUGCGGCCGUACUCCCCAGGUGGAUUACUUAUCGCUUUCGCUAAGCCGCGUACUGUAUAUCGCACACAGCGAGUAAUCAACGUUUACAGUGUGGACUAC